GAUUUCCGCUUGUCUUAAAGAAGCGAGCGCAUUGGAAUGUUUAGACUGCAUUGAUGUCGCUGAUCCGAAAAUGUGCAAUAACACUAUAUCCUGUGCUUCUGAUGAGUCCUGCUUUGUACAAGCGACACAGACAUCACCUGUCACGCGAUACCAGAUGGGCUGCCAAAUAAAUCAG